rnacentral:rRNA from 1 species
UACGGGGGGGGCAAGCGUUGUUCGGAAUUACUGGGCGUAAAGGGCGCGUAGGCGGCCGCCUAAGUCAGACGUGAAAUCCCUCGGCUCAACCGGGGAACUGCGUCUGAUACUGGGUGGCUUGAAUCCGGGAGAGGGAUGCGGAAUUCCAGGUGUAGCGGUGAAAUGCGUAGAUAUCUGGAGGAGCACCGGUGGCGAAGGCGGCAUCCUGGACCGGCAUUGACGCUGAGGCGCGAAAGCCAGGGGAGCAAACGGG